AAUGAAUUUGAUGAUAAGAUAUAUAUUACUAAUAUAUUCAUUAAUAAAUUUCGUUAAUUUUACUAUUAAGAUUUACAUUAUGAAUGGUAUGGAUUGUAAUUUAAUGAAUAUGGAAAAUAUAAAACAAAUAAACAAACACAAACACACACACAAACACACACAAGGGGGCUGCUACCCCCUGGCCACCAUAGGCAGCCCAACCCCCUUGGCAGCCAUUCUUGGUUUUGAUGUCAACAGUUCUUGUUCUUUUUUUCCCCCUCUUCCAUUUUCUGAAACAUUCAGCAACAGCCUCUAUUGAUGUCGAUGGUGCCUGUUCUUUGAGCAAUUUUUUCCACUGAGUUUCCCUCCAAUUUUUCAAAUGUUCAGCAGUUGCCAUUAUUCAACUCACAAGUUGAUGCAAUGUUGCCAUAUCUCGAAUUUGUUUAUUUUUAAACUGAAAUUUGGGAGCCUUCAAC
rnacentral:lncRNA from 1 species